rnacentral:rRNA from 1 species
UAACGGCGGACGGGGGAGUAACGCGUGGGUAACCUACCCUGUACACACGGAUAACAUACCGAAAGGUAAUGCUAAUACGGGAUAAUAUAUUUGAGAGGCAUCUCUUAAAUAUCAAAGGUGAGCCAGUACAGGAUGGACCCGCGUCUGAUUAGCUAGUUGGUAAGGUAACGGCUUACCAAGGCGACGAUCAGUAGCCGACCUGAGAGGGUGAUCGGCCACAUUGGAACUGAGACACGGUCCAA